GCGCAACCCUCGUUCUAUGUUGCCAGCACGUAAUGGUGGGAACUCAUGGGAUACUGCCGGGGUCAACUCGGAGGAAGGUGGGGAUGACGUCAAAUCAUCAUGCCCCUUAUGUCUUGGGCUUCACGCAUGCUACAAUGGCCGGUACAAAGGGCUGCAAUACCGCGAGGUGGAGCGAAUCCCAAAAAGCCGGUCCCAGUUCGGAUUGAGGUCUGCAACUCGACCUCAUAAAGUCGGAGUCGCUAGUAAUCGCAGAUCAGCAACGCUGCGGUGAAUACGUUCCCGGGUCUUGUACACACCGCCCGUCAAGUCAUGAAAGUCGGUAACACCUGAAGCCGGUGGCCUAACCCUUGUGGAGGGAGCCGUCGAAGGUGGGAUCGGUAAUUAGGACUAAGUCGUAACAAGGUAGCCGUACCGGAAGG
rnacentral:rRNA from 1 species